rnacentral:rRNA from 1 species
AUUGACCACUAGCGGCAAGCCUAACACAUGCAAGUCGAGCGAGCUGCGGACGGGUUAGUAAUGUCUGGGACACUGCCCGAUGGAGGGGGAUAACUACUGGAAUCGGUAGCUAAUACCGCGUACAAUCAUAUCUGCCCAGAUGGGACUAGCUCGUAGGUGGUUUAACGGCUCACCUAGGCGACGAUCCCUAGCUGGUCUGAGAUGAUGACCGGCCACACAGGAACUGAUAAACGGUCCAGACUCUUACGGGAGGCAGGAGUGGGGAAGAUUGCACAAUAGGCGCAAGCGUGAUGAAGCCCUGCCGCGUGUGUGAAGAAUGCCUGAGGGGUGUAAAGCCCUUUCUGCGGGGACGCGUUACCCGCAGAAGAAGCACCGGCUAACUCCGUGCCAGCAGCCGCGGUAAUUC